rnacentral:piRNA from 1 species
UAGGAAGGUGCACAUGUAUAAGUAGUUGGC